rnacentral:misc_RNA from 1 species
CCCUCAUUGAAAAAGACGUUACCUGGACAAUCCGAAAAAAAAGGCACAAGUCAAGUAUCUAUCAGAUUCAGAACAUAACAUUAAAGUAGGUUGGGAAGCUCAUCAUUUGUCAAAGUUUGGAUUUAGAAGGUAGCAUAUUUUCUAUGCCAGUCAUGGUAGGAUACAGAGAGUAUGAAGUCAAGUCACCUUUUGUUAUUGGUCCCAACAAUCUGGAUGCAUUACUAACCACAACCCCCCACCCACACCCAUUUUCCACAGUAACAGGUUUAAUUUCACCCAUGGACACUUGACACUAAAUUUCAACAGAGUUGCUGAACAAUAAUUUGUAUUCGCAAAAUCAUUCAACUUUGAUUUUGUUUCAAUAAGGACGCUAUCGCCAAAAUUUUGUGUUCACCAAAUAAGAAAUUCUGAAAGUCUAUUUUUAUGUUAGAACACACACACACACAUUAGGUUAUCAUUUAAAAGAUCCAGCUGAAAUUCCACCUAUCAAAAUCUAACAGUAAUGAUCUUACUGAAACAAAAUUAAAGUUAAGUUAUUUUAGGAAUACAAAUUGAAGUUCAGUGACUAAACUCACCUCGGAUGAAAUCAAGCCUAUUGCAACUUUUUUUGAGAUAUUCAUAUUACAUAUCCUAGUUUGUAUUGAACAGCCAUUGUCAUAGUGAACAGAAACUAGGGAAUUCCAAUUAGAACAUCAGUCCUAAUUAGUCUGUUUUUCGCCUUUGAAAAACUUCAUUUCCCAAAUACAAGACUUUAUAAAAGAACUUAUGAAAGUAAUAACACAGUGCAAAAUAAAAAUUGUUGACAAGGGAAAAGAAGUCGAAAUCCUAUCAUAUCAUUAUCACAUGCCAAUAUUUGUAAUAAUCCUCGUAACUGUAAGCAAUGCACAGCUAUCAAAUUAUAAAUAAACAAGAGAUUUCAUAUAAUUUCUGACAAGAAAGAAUGCAAGCAGUUGAAACUUGAAACAAAUCUAAUGAAGAGUUUACAAGGCAAUCAUAAUUCCUGACCUUUUCAAUAUCAACCAAACUG